UCGGGAAUUUUGUGCAAUGGGCGAAAGCCUGACCCAGCAACGCCGCGUGAGGGAUGAAGGCCUUCGGGUCGUAAACCUCUGUCGGGAGGGAAGAACGGCAUCCGGUCGAACAGGCCGGGUGAUUGACGGUACCUCCAAAGGAAGCGCCGGCUAACUCCGAGCCACCAGCCGCGGUAAUACGGAGGGCGCAAGCGUUGUUCGGAAUCAUUGGGCGUAAAGCGCGUGUAGGCGGCUUGGCAAGUCGGAUGUGAAAGCCCGGGGCCCAACCCCGGAAUUGCAUUCGAUACUGCCUCGCUCGAGUCCCGGAGAGGAGAGCGGAAUUCCCGGUGUAGGGGUGAAAUCCGUAGAUAUCGGGAGGAACACCAGUGGCGAAGGCGGCUCUCUGGACGGUGACUGACGCUGAGACGCGAAAGCGUGGGGAGCAAACAGGAUUAGAUACCCGCGUAGUCC
rnacentral:rRNA from 1 species